rnacentral:rRNA from 1 species
GACGAACGCUGGCGGCGUGCCUAAUACAUGCAAGUAGAACGCUGAAGGAGGAGCUUGCUCUUCUGGAUGAGUUGCGAACGGGUGAGUAACGCGUAGGUAACCUGCCUGGUAGCGGGGGAUAACUAUUGGAAACGAUAGCUAAUACCGCAUAACAGUAGAUGUUGCAUGACAUUUACUUAAAAGGUGCAAUUGCAUCACUACCAGAUGGACCUGCGUUGUAUUAGCUAGUUGGUGGGGUAACGGCUCACCAAGGCGACGAUACAUAGCCGACCUGAGAGGGGGAUCGGCCACACUGGGAAUGGGACACGGCCCAGACUCCUGCGGGAGGCAGCAGUAGGGAAUCUUCGGCAAUGGACGGAAGUCUGACCGAGCAACGCCGCGUGAGUGAAGAAGGUUUUCGGAUCGUAAAGCUCUGUUGUAAGAGAAGAACGAGUGUGAGAGUGGAAAGUUCACACUGUGACGGUAUCUUAACAGAAAGGGACGGCUAACUACGUG